UAGCUUUGUUGCUUUGUGCCUCCA
rnacentral:piRNA from 1 species